rnacentral:rRNA from 1 species
CACGUAGGGUGCGAGCGUUGUCCGGAAUUAUUGGGCGUAAAGCGGGUGUAGGUGGCUUGGUAAGUCAGGUGUGAAAGCCCAGGGCUUAACCCUGGAAGUGCAUUUGAAACUGCCGAGCUUGAGUGUGGGAGAGGAUAGUGGAAUUCCUGGUGUAGUGGUGAAAUACGUAGAUAUCAGGAGGAACAUCGGUGGCGAAGGCGGCUAUCUGGCCCAACACUGACACUCAGACCCGAAAGCGUGGGGAUCAAACAGG